ACAAACUGCCCACUCCAGAUUCCGGCGAUUCCGGCGGCUAUCGCCGGCGCGGUGCACACCGCCGAGCUCGCCUCGCUCGGCUCCAUCCUCCCCUCCGGCAAGAUUCUCCCUUCCCGGCCUCUACGGCUCGCCAAUAACCCACACCCGUGCUAGGGUUUCGGCCUCUAGCAUCGUCCUCCUCGUCGGCGCAUCUCCGGCGACUCUUCUCCUUUGCCUACAGCGCCCCCACGCGCGCCCUCGCUUCCUGAUGGCCCACCUCCAGCAGGGCGGCGCGGAGGACCUCCUCCCGCAGGAUCCACGGACGCGGCGCACCUUGCGGACGCUGGUCCCGGACGAGGGCGGGCACGGUGGCCUUGUCCUACUCGACGACGGUGGGGGCGAACGCCGGUGCUCCUCCUCCUCGACCUCCAAGGGGGAGCACCGGUACAACACAAGCACGCCCAGCCCCUGAACCCCCGUUCUUCACCCAUCCAGUGGCGUACAUGAUGUGCUCCUCGAUGCGGCUGUUCCCAACGAACUCUCUUCGCCGGAGGAGGCGGAGCAGCAAGUCCAGCACCCUCUUGCCCCCCUAUCCUGUAGCGCAUGGACGACCUCACCGUCGGCUGCAUUCUACCCUCCUAGCACGCAUGGAAAAUCCCAUCUACGCAGUCAUCCAGUUUGCACACACGGCCAUGAGGUAUGAGUUUGGUAAGAUUACCCUUCAUAAGACUUCACAAACAACCAUAUAUUUUUCCCAAAAGUUUUGUACUUCUGAACCUGUUGAAUUUGAAUCAAGAGAUGUUGCACAUUUCUGAACCUGCUGAAUAAAUCAAAAGAUGUUACUCCUCUACCUGCUGAAUCUAAAUCGAAAGAUCUCAAGAGAAUUAUGGUGCUACUUUUGGCAACGUGCCGCCGUGCUCAACCUCGCCCGGCCAUCGUAUGGCCUCUUGUGUUGUCUUCAAUCUUCAUUGGUACGUAUGUGUUCUAUAAUUACUGUAUACACAUAGAGACAAUGCUAGUUUUAGAGUUCAGAGAAAAACAGAGUAAGUGGAAGCACAAAGAAGAGGUAGCGGUAUGUGUCUAGAUUAAUCAUCAUUGUAUUCAGUGUAACUGCUAGCUUUAGAAUUCAGUUUUUGUCUAGCUGAAAAGACACAUAUUCCAUUAAGACAUAAUCAUCAUGGAAUUGGUACAUUCCUUUUUUACAUUUUGAGAAAAGUGCCUAGAAAUUCUCAUCAAUGCGCAAUAUUCAGCUGGGCUGCAUUUCUUAUCGAGUUUACUGUAGUGAAAGCGUAAUAUAAGCGCAACGGAGUUUACUACCAAAUCUAUUGAUCUAUACAUGCUCAUCAUUCCUUUUUUUUGUGAGCUGUUGUUUCUUUUCACACUUCUGUUAAUUUGUGGCAUUACUUUGCAUCCUGGGAGUGAAAAAAAUGCAGAACUUGAUAAUGUGAAGUAAGAUUAACCUACUGGCUGUAAUAUUUUAUAACGCGGCAUACUUUUCAUCAUGUGGCAGAUAUUGGUUAUGGGAGCAUUUUCAACAAUAAAGACAUGCGUUUUGACAACAUUUGCGUGGAUGGGUUGAUUUGCUGCUAUAAAUGUUGGAUGACCCCUGGUUGGUGUGUGGCGGCCGAACAAGAGUGGCCUCGCUUGAUGGGGCCGGUGCUUGGCUGUAGAGUAGCAUAGUGUUCUUCGAGACAUGCUUGUAAAAUUAAUGUUUUUGGGUCUUCUCUUUUCGCUCCUCUACAGGUGUAUUUUUGGAUAUGUUGUAAUUUUCUUUUUCUAAUGACAGGAGCAUGUACUUUCA